rnacentral:rRNA from 1 species
GACGAACGCUGGCGGCGUGCUUAACACAUGCAAGUCGAACGGAAAGGCCCUGCUUUUGUGGGGUGCUCGAGUGGCGAACGGGUGAGUAACACGUGAGUAACCUGCCCUUGACUUGGGGAUAACUUCAGGAAACUGGGGCUAAUACCGGAUAGGAGCUCCUGCUGCAUGGUGGGGGUUGGAAAGUUUCGGCUGUUGGGGAUGGACUCGCGGCUUAUCAGCUUGUUGGUGGGGUAGUGGCUUACCAAGGCUUUGGCGGGUAGCCGGCCUGAGAGGGUGACCGGCCACAUUGGGACUGAGAUACGGCCCAGACUCCUACGGGAGGCAGCAGUGGGGAAUAUUGCACAAUGGGCGGAAGCCUGAUGCAGCAACGCCGCGUGCGGGAUGACGGCCUUCGGGUUGUAAACCGCUUUCGCCUGUGACGAAGCGUGAGUGACGGUAAUGGGUAAAGAAGCACCGGCUAACUACGUG